rnacentral:tRNA from 1 species
AUUUCUUUAGUAUUCAAUUAGUACAAUUGACUUCCAAUCAAUUAGUUCUGGUAUAACCCAGAAAGAAAUA